ACAUCGGAAGGUAGUCUGGAAGUAGGCGACCAUGGAUCAUCGUCGUCGGAGGUAUAAAGAAGGGCAGUGGCCCUAGUUUUGACGGCGGAGGCGGCCUUGAAGAAGGCUUCGCGAAUGGAAUCGGGAGGUAGGGCACAAUCCUCGAGGCCGGCGUCUUCGAGACGGGGAGGGAGGAUUUGAACGAAGAAACCUGGUUUGGGAUUGUGCUGUUCCGCUGCGUCCAUGACAAUGAACAACAAGAAUGCG
rnacentral:misc_RNA from 1 species